rnacentral:rRNA from 1 species
CCGGCGCACGGGUGAGUAACACGUAUCCAACCUGCCGUCUACUCUUGGACAGCCUUCUGAAAGGAAGAUUAAUACAAGAUGGCAUCAUGAGUCCGCAUGUUCACAUGAUUAAAGGUAUUCCGGUAGACGAUGGGGAUGCGUUCCAUUAGAUAGUAGGCGGGGUAACGGCCCACCUAGUCUUCGACGGAUAGGGGUUCUGAGAGGAAGGUCCCCCACAUUGGAACUGAGACACGGUCCAA